CAGGGGGUGCUUGCACCCCGCUGACGAGCGGCGGACGGGUGAGUAAUGCAUAGGAAAUUGCCCAGUAGUGGGGGAUAGCCCGGGGAAACCCGGAUUAAUACCGCAUACGUCCUUCGGGAGAAAGCAGGGGAUCUUCGGACCUUGCGCUAUUGGAUGUGCCUAUGUCGGAUUAGCUAGUUGGUGGGGUAAAGGCCUACCAAGGCGACGAUCCGUAGCUGGUCUGAGAGGAUGAUCAGCCACAUCGGGACUGAGACACGGCCCGAACUCCUACGGGAGGCAGCAGUGGGGAAUAUUGGACAAUGGGGGCAACCCUGAUCCAGCCAUGCCGCGUGUGUGAAGAAGGCUUUCGGGUUGUAAAGCACUUUCAGUGAGGAGGAAAACCUUAUGGUUAAUACCC
rnacentral:rRNA from 1 species